rnacentral:lncRNA from 1 species
AAUGGCCAAGACCUGGGGAGCGCAGGAGAAAAGCAGGUGUUCGGUGGGGAGGGCAAGGGGGGCAGAGCGUGGGAAGAUGCACCAAGCCCAGGCACCCGAGGCCCGAGGUGCCAGCCGUAGAGGAGAGAACCCAACGCAAUUCCAUAUGUUCAAGAGGCAGAUCCAGGAAGCAGAAUGAGUACCUAGAAAAGAAGAAAGUACCAUUUAUUCACUCAUUCAUUCUCUCUCUCUCUCCCUCCCUCCUCCCUUUUUUGUGUGUGUGCAAGUGCACACCCACACACCCACAAACAACUGCAUACACACACAGAUGUUGAUUACAUGCCAGGUACUGUGAUAACUGAUCUAAAUACAGUAUCUCAUUUAAUUCUCAAAUGUUACAGAUUUUUAUGCUCUGAACCCAAAGUGUGUCUUACAAUCAAUAGUAUGCAAGCCUUAUGUCAUAAUCUAAUUAGAAGCAUUUUUCUUUCAUAAUAACUCAAAAUCAUGGUGCAUCUUGCCAGCAAAAGUGUGACAGAUUGGAAGGAAUACAGCAUUCUCUCCACAUCACAGAGGAAGAAACACCUAAAGAGUUCUAGAGCAAGGAAACUGACUCAAGGGAGACACUGUGCAGUAGGAGAGAAAUAUGAGAACCCCAAUCUCAGGAUUCAAGGUCUGGGGAUCACUGAAGGAAAGGCUCUGUAAACUCCUGUUCGUUUCUUCCCUGCACAGCUGCAAGAUCA